AAAUUGAAGAGUUUGAUCAUGGCUCAGAUUGAACGCUGGCGGCAGGCCUAACACAUGCAAGUCGAACGGUAGCACAGAGAGCUUGCUCUCGGGUGACGAGUGGCGGACGGGUGAGUAAUGUCUGGGAAACUGCCUGAUGGAGGGGGAUAACUACUGGAAACGGUGGCUAAUACCGCAUAACGUCGCAAGACCAAAGAGGGGGACCUUCGGGCCUCUUGCCAUCAGAUGUGCCCAGAUGGGAUUAGCUGGUUGGUGAGGUAACGGCUCACCAAGGCGACGAUCCCUAGCUGGUCUGAGAGGAUGACCAGCCACACUGGAACUGAGACACGGUCCAGACUCCUACG
rnacentral:rRNA from 2 species